ensembl:lncRNA novel transcript
GAUUGAUGCCAUCAGCUGUGUUUAUGCCAUCAGUUAGUCUGUAUUGAUCCAGGGCGUAUUUUGUGCAGAUGGGGACCCUGGGAAGUUAGCAGCAAUGGAGAAAAGCGUGGAAUGCUCUCCAGGUAAUCCCAUAGUGGCAGCAGUAACAACAAUGGCAACAGCAGCCUGGAGAGCACCGAAAUACUUAAAGCUCUGAGGGAAGCGAGUCUUCCCUCCACUAGAGAAGCUGUGGUCCCAAGAGGGUGGGACAAAAUACCAUUCCCUUUUCUCUCUCUCUGUUCAUACACUGCCUGGUGGGACAGACUCAAGUAUAGCCAUGAGAUGUAUGCAGCAAGGUAGGAAAACUAAAGACCUAGCUUUCUAACCAGAGGACAAAAAAAAUGGGGCUUCAGUGGGCCAAAAAUGCCAGAAUAAUCUCAGAAAGGAGACUGCUCAAGAGAGCAGUUCCAUAUUAACUCCGAGGCUUACUUCUAAGCUGCACAUGGUGUGAGAACUGAACUGUGCAUGAGACUAUGAUCCAGGCCACCAAAUGGCCACUGGGCAACAUACACACAACAGAUUCCCAUAGCACUGCAAAGGCUUUGAAAACUGAACUGAUAUUAGAACCACAGUCCACAGGAGAACUCGAGUCUGGAGCCUAAUUAGACUGAUUGCUUGCAAAAACAAAACAAAACAAAAUUCAAAAUUCGCUUUAGGAUUUAAACAAGACAUGGAUCCUCAUAAUGUAAUAUUCAAAAUGUUCAGGACACAAUCCAAAACUACUUGACAUAUGAAAGACAAGAAAAACUUCAACUUAUAGGGAAAAGAACAAUCAACAGAUGCCACCUGCAAGAUGACACAAAUGUUGAAAUUAUUAAAGAUGCAAAGGCGACUAUUAUAAACAUAUUCCAAGAAGUAAGGGAAAAUUCUCUUGAAACAAAAAAGUCUCAAUAAAGACUAUAGAAGAUACAAAGAAGGACAAAAGAGAAACUUUUUGGAACUGAAAAUUACAAUGACCGAAAUAAAAUAUUCCCUGGAUAAGAUCAAUAGCAAAAUAGAGAAAGUCAGUGAAUUGAAGAUUGAAUAGAAAUUAUCCAAUCUGAACAAAAGGAAAAAAUUAAAAAUUAAUGAACAGAGUAUUGGAGGCAUGUGAGACAAUACGAAAAAGUCUAAUAUUCAUAGUGUUAGAGUUCCAGAGGGAGAAGGGGAAGAAUAGGAUGCAAAGAAACAAACAAAACCCAAAGGAAACCGUGCCCAGAUGCAUCGUAAUUAAACUGCUAAAAACUAGGGCAAAACAUCUUGAAAGCAGCCAGAGAAAAAUGAUACUUUAUAUAAAGGGAAACAUUGACUUAAAUAACUGUGGAUUCCUCAGGAAAAAAAAGUAGGCCAGAGGAAAUGGAAUAACAUUUUUAAAGUGCUGAAAGAGAAAAAACUGUCAAUCCGGAAUUCAAUAUCCAGUGAAAACAUCCUUCAGGAACGAAGAUGAAAUAAAGACAUUCUCAAUGAAUGAAAUCUGGAAGAAUUCAUCACCAACAGACAUGUUCCAAAAUCAAUACUAAAGAAAUACUUUUCCUCCUAAGAUGCAGAACAAAGCAAAGAUGUUCUGGCAAAGGAAGAAUGAAAGUAAUGGGCAAACAAUCAGUGGUUGCCAGGGAUUAGGGGUGGGAGAUGUGUGACCACAAAGGGAAGAAUGAGAGAAUUUGUGUAUGAUGAACUGUCUGUAUCCUAUUGUGGUGGUGGUUACAUGAAUCUAAACAUAUGUUAAACCUUACCAAACUGUUAUGCCCCAAAAUAAAAUUUAAAAAUAAAGUUAAAA